CUUCUCCUACGGGGGGCAGCAGUGGGGAAUAUUGCACAAUGGGGGAAACCCUGAUGCAGCAACGCCGCGUGAGUGAAGAAGUAUUUCGGUAUGUAAAGCUCUAUCAGCAGGGAAGAAGAUGACGGUACCUGAUUAAGAAGCCCCGGCUAACUACGUGCCAGCAGCCGCGGUAAUACGUAGGGGGCAAGCGUUAUCCGGAUUUACUGGGUGUAAAGGGAGCGUAGGCGGUUCAGCAAGUCAGAAGUGAAAGCCCGGGGCUCAACUCCGGGACUGCUUUUGAAACUGUUGAACUAGAUUGCAGGAGG
rnacentral:rRNA from 1 species